rnacentral:rRNA from 1 species
AACGAACGCUGGCGGCAUGCCUCAUACAUGCAAGUCGAACGCAGGCUUCGGCCUGAGUGGCGCACGGGUGAGUAGCGCGUGGGAACCUACCCUUUUGUGGGGGAUAACCGAGGGAAACUUCGGCUAAUACCGCAUACGCCGGGAAACCGGGAAAGAUUUAUCGCAGAAGGAUGGGCCCGCGUCGGAUUAGCUAGUUGGUGGGGUAACGGCCCACCAAGGCUACGAUCCGUAGCUGGUCUGAGAGGAUGAUCAGCCACACUGGGACUGAGA